AUUAUAUUUAAAUAACAUAGACACGUUAAUGCUUUUUUUCCUAAUUUUAUUUUUCAAGUCUUUCCUCUUUCUCAUAAUUGACCAUUGUUUUUACAAAAAAUUAAUGAAAAUAUAAAAAAACACAAGACUCUUUUCGUGAUUUUAUUUUACAAUAAUAACUUAAUAAGUCAGGCCCCAAAAGGCCAAAACCCAAAUUCCCUCAUCCACAAAAAAAAAAAACUACUCAUCCAUCACGUACAACCACUCACUCCAUCUUGCCGCCCACUCCACCGCACCGUCUACUCCCUGAUGUCCCCUCUACCGAGGCCGACCCCAGGCUUCUUCAAUUCAAAACGAUGAAGAAUUGAAGAGAAAUUCGAUAAUCUGAGUUGAAAUAGGGAAAUUAGGGUCUUUAUAAGGAGGAAUUUGGGGGAAAUUGCGAAAAAGAGGUUCAUAACUCUGCCAGGCUGGCACACCGAGCAACCAAGAAUGCACGGUGCCACACGUUUGUCAGUUUCACGCCAUUCACGAUCUAUUACAAAGCAGCUUUGCAAUGUAAGGGAAUGGAAGAUGUAAGGGAACAGAAGCUGUUACUGAUUUUGAUCCAAACAUAUAUGGAGAAGGGCUGAUCUCUGGAUCCCAUGAUGGAGGACGUCGCUGAAGAGUUAGAAGGGCUCAAUGUUGUUCAGCAGAACAUCAAGUUUCACUAAAAUGCUCACAUUUGAGAUCCCCUUUUUAAGCUAAACUGGUUUGAUGCUCCGAUUAGCAGCAGUGAACUGAUGCGUUCUUGCCGUAUCAAUUUCAACACAGCAGAUUAUUUUUGGUUUAAAGUAGAAGACAUGAAUAUAAUUAUAUAUUGUAAUAAUCUAGCUAAUAGUUUAUUAUACACACAAAUGAUAUAAAAUUUGUAACUUUAUGUAUAUGUAUUAAGUGUCUAAACUACUUUGCUUUCAAAAAUAUAAUUUUUCUUAAACAU